GCGGGGAUAGCUCAGCUGGGAGAGCGUCAGACUGAAGUCCAACUUCAGGAACACUUGAUUCGUUAAUCUGAAGGCCGUGCGUUCGAUCCGCACUCACCGCA